GAGGGUGACCGGCCACACUGGGACUGAGACACGGCCCAGACUCCUACGGGAGGCAGCAGUGGGGAAUAUUGCACAAUGGGCGAAAGCCUGAUGCAGCGACGCCGCGUGAGGGAUGACGGCCUUCGGGUUGUAAACCUCUUUCAGCAGGGACGAAGCGCAAGUGACGGUACCUGCAGAAGAAGCACCGGCUAACUACGUGCCAGCAGCCGCGGUAAUACGUAGGGUGCAAGCGUUGUCCGGAAUUACUGGGCGUAAAGAGUUCGUAGGCGGUUUGUCGCGUCGUUUGUGAAAACCAGCAGCUCAACUGCUGGCUUGCAUGCGAUACGGGCAGACUUGAGUACUGCAGGGGAGACUGGAAUUCCUGGUGUAGCGGUGAAAUGCGCAGAUAUCAGGAGGAACACCGGUGGCGAAGGCGGGUCUCUGGGCAGUAACUGACGCUGA
rnacentral:rRNA from 1 species